UACGAAGGGGGCUAGCGUUGCUCGGAAUCACUGGGCGUAAAGCGCACGUAGGCGGCUUGCUAAGUCAGGGGUGAAAUCCUGGAGCUCAACUCCAGAACUGCCUUUGAUACUGGCGAUCUCGAGUCCGGGAGAGGUGAGUGGAACUGCGAGUGUAGGGGUGAAAUUCGUAGAUAUUCGCAAGAACACCAGUGGCGAAGGCGGCUCACUGGCCCGGUACUGACGCUGAGGUGCGAAAGCGUGGGGAGCAAACAGG
rnacentral:rRNA from 1 species